rnacentral:rRNA from 1 species
UACAGAGGUCCCAAGCGUUGUUCGGAUUCACUGGGCGUAAAGGUGCGUAGGCGGGCAGGUAAGUCCGUGGUGAAAUCUCUGAGCUAACUCAGAAACUGCCAUGGAUACUAUUUGUCUUGAAUAUUGUGGAGGUAAGCGGAAUAUGUCAUGUAGCGGUGAAAUGCUUAGAUAUGACAUAGAACACCAAUUGCGAAGGCAGCUUACUACACAGUUAUUGACGCUGAGGCACGAAAGCGUGGGAUCAAACAGG